CAUUGAAACACCUGUUCCCGUACGAUCCACGUAGUUAAGCAACGUUGAGCCUGGUCUGUACCGAGAUGGGAGAUCGCUUAGGAAUGCCAAGUGCUGUAAG